GUAGGGUCCAAGCGUUAAUCGGAAUUACUGGGCGUAAAGCGUGCGCAGGCGGUUGUGCAAGACCGAUGUGAAAUCCCCGGGCUUAACCUGGGAAUUGCAUUGGUGACUGCACGGCUAGAGUGUGUCAGAGGGGGGUAGAAUUCCACGUGUAGCAGUGAAAUGCGUAGAGAUGUGGAGGAAUACCGAUGGCGAAGGCAGCCCCCUGGGAUAACACUGACGCUCAUGCACGAAAGCGUGGGGGGGAGCAAACAGGAUUAGAUACCCUGGUAGUCCACGCCCUAAACCGAUGUCAACUAGUUGUUGGGGAUUCAUUUCCUUAGUAACGUAGCUAACGCGUGAAGUUGACCGCCUGGGGAGUACGGUCGCAAGAUUA
rnacentral:rRNA from 1 species